UACGUAGGGCGCAAGCGUUAUCCGGAAUUAUUGGGCGUAAAGAGCUCGUAGGCGGCUUGUCGCGUCGGUUGUGAAAGCCCGGGGCUUAACCCCGGGUCUGCAUUCGAUACGGGCAGGCUUGAGUGUGGUAGGGGAGAUUGGAAUUCCUGGUGUAGCGGUGGAAUGCGCAGAUAUCAGGAGGAACACCGAUGGCGAAGGCAGGUCUCUGGGCAUUAACUGACGCUGAGGAGCGAAAGCAUGGGGAGCGAACAGG
rnacentral:rRNA from 1 species